GCCGGGACUACAACACCGAUGUCAGAACGUACAUGUAUUGAAACAAAGAAAGAACAACUUUCAACAACGGAUCUCUUGGCUCUCGCAUCGAUGAAGAACGCAGCGAAUUGCGAUAAGUAAUGUGAAUUGCAGAAUUCAGUGAACCAUCGAAUCUUUGAACGCACCUUGCACCCUUUGGUAUUCCGAAGGGUAUGCCGGUUUGAGUGUCAUGUAGCCAUCCCGGCCUUUUGAAAGGGCGCGGGGAGUUGGGGUUGCCAUCGGCUCGCCUCCAAUACAUGCCUUGAAUAAGUCUUGAGGCCACGCGUGCCUGCGCACGCACCGAGCCUCGGCUCAAACACUCUGACCUCAAACCGGUAGGACUACCCGCUGAACUUAAGCAUAUCAAUAAGCGGAGGAAAAGAAACCAACGCGGAUUCCCCUAGUAACGGCGAGUGAAGCGGGAAGAGCUCAACAUUGAAAUCUGGCCUUGUGCCCGAGUUGUAAUCUAAAGAGGCGGUUUCCAUGCCGGCCGUGUCCAAGUCCCUUGGAAAAGGGCGCCAGAGAGGGUGAAAACCCCGUGCUUGACACGACCACCGGGAUGACUAGAUCCGACCCUCUCCGAGUCGAGUUGUUUGGGAAUGCAGCUCUAAACGGGUGGUAAACUCCAUCUAAGGCUAAAUACUGGCGAGAGACCGAUAGCAUACAAGUACCGUGAGGGAAAGAUGAAAAGCACUUUGGAAAGAGAGUUAAACAGUAUGUGAAAU
rnacentral:misc_RNA from 1 species